AUUUUCGCCCUGAAAUUUGGUUUCUACCGCUGUUUGGGCGGUAGGAUUAAAAGGGAAUCUGGUGAGAAUCCAGAGCUGUUCCCGCAACUGUAAGCUUAGCCCCUUAGGGGCGGUUGCCAUUUUCUUCGAAUGCCACUGCAACGAUGAUCUGUCGUCGUGCGGGAAGGUCAAUGGUAAUACGCAAGUCAGGAGACCUGCCAAAUUCAAACAACAAAG
rnacentral:ncRNA from 1 species